CGAUGAACCGCUUGCGGGGGAUUAGUGGCGAACGGGUGAGUAACACGUGAGUAACCUGCCCUUAACUCUGGGAUAAGCCUUGGAAACGGGGUCUAAUACUGGAUAUUGACUUUACCUCGCAUGGGGUUUUGUUGAAAGAUUUAUUGGUUUUGGAUGGACUCGCGGCCUAUCAGCUUGUUGGUGAGGUAAUGGCUCACCAAGGCGACGACGGGUAGCCGGCCUGAGAGGGUGACCGGCCACACUGGGACUGAGACACGGCCCAGACUCCUACGGGAGGCAGCAGUGGGGAAUAUUGCACAAUGGGCGAAAGCCUGAUGCAGCGACGCCGCGUGAGGGAUGACGGCCUUCGGGUUGUAAACUUCUUUCAGUAGGGAACAAGGCCAGCAUUUUUGUUGGUUGAGGGUACUUGCAGAAGAAGCGCCGGCUAACUACGUGCCAGCAGCCGCGGUAAUACGUAGGGCGCAAGCGUUAUCCGGAAUUAUUGGGCGUAAAGAGCUCGUAGGCGGUUUGUCGCGUCUGCCGUGAAAGUCCGGGGCUCAACUCCGGAUCUGCGGUGGGUACGGGCAGACUAGAGUGAUGUAGGGGAGACUGGAAUUCCUGGUGUAGCGGUGAAAUGCGCAGAUAUCAGGAGGAACACCGAUGGCGAAGGCAGGUCUCUGGGCAUUAACUGACGCUGAGGAGCGAAAGCAUGGGGAGCGAACAGGAUUAGAUACCCUGGUAGUCCAUGCCGUANACGUUGGGCACUAGGUGUGGGGGACAUUNCACGUUUUCCGCGCCGUAGCUAACGCAUUAAGUGCCCCGCCUGGGGAGUACG
rnacentral:rRNA from 1 species